rnacentral:rRNA from 1 species
AUGUAAUGCAAUGCCUACAAUGUUAAUGCAUGAGAUACCAUUAGAAAUCCGCAGUUAAGCAUGCUUGGGCUAGAGUAGUACUAGGAUGGGUGACCUCCCGAGAAUUCCUAGUGUUUUACAUG